rnacentral:rRNA from 1 species
UACGGGGGGGGCAAGCGUUGUUCGGAAUUACUGGGCGUAAAGGGCUCGUAGGUGGCCAACUAAGUCAGACGUGAAAUCCCUCAGCUUAACUGGGGAACUGCGUCUGAUACUGGACGGCUUGAGUUUGGGAGAGGGACGCGGAAUUCCAGGUGUAGCGGUGAAAUGCGUAGAUAUCUGGAGGAACACCGGUGGCGAAGGCGGCAUCCUGGACCAAUACUGACGCUGAGGAGCGAAAGCCAGGGGAGCAAACGGG